GACGAACGCUGGCGGCGUGCCUAAUACAUGCAAGUCGAACGCUUCUUUCCUCCCGAGUGCUUGCACUCAAUUGGAAAGAGGAGUGGCGGACGGGUGAGUAACACGUGGGUAACCUACCCAUCAGAGGGGGAUAACACUUGGAAACAGGUGCUAAUACCGCAUAACAGUUUAUGCCGCAUGGCAUAAGAGUGAAAGGCGCUUUCGGGUGUCGCUGAUGGAUGGACCCGCGGUGCAUUAGCUAGUUGGUGAGGUAACGGCUCACCAAGGCCACGAUGCAUAGCCGACCUGAGAGGGUGAUCGGCCACACUGGGACUGAGACACGGCCCAGACUCUUACGGGAGGCAGCAGUAGGGAAUCUUCGGCAAUGGACGAAAGUCUGACCGAGCAACGCCGCGUGAGUGAAGAAGGUUUUCGGAUCGUAAAACUCUGUUGUUAGAGAAGAACAAGGACGUUAGUAACUGAACGUCCCCUGACGGUAUCUAACCAGAAAGCCACGGCUAACUACGUG
rnacentral:rRNA from 1 species